rnacentral:tRNA from 1 species
GAAGAUACAGCUCAGUGGCAGAGUGCAUGCUUAGCAUGUAUGGGUCCUGGGUUCAAUCCCCAGUACCUCUG